CUCUGUCUGUGUCUUUUUCCCUCUUUUCUCUUUCCUUCCUCCGCUUUCCCUUUCUAAUAAAACUUAUCACUAAGCGCUGUCUACCUGUCUGCCCAGAAGGGCGGAGGUCCCGCUAAAUACUCCUGCCUCCACGGAACUGCCGGAUGCCAUGUGAUCAUAGUGUUGGACCUACAUCCUCUUAACUAGCUGGGAUCCCAGGCCUGCACCACAAUAUCUGGUUCAUAGAGAGCUGGGGAUCAAACCCAGGACCCUGGGCAUACCAGAGCACAGAAGGUAGACAUGAGUGAGCUGGUCAGCCUCUGUUGAGAAGAAACAAUGUGUAGAGAAGAAAGCAGUGCUGGGCUUUGAAGGCUUCCUAAGGCAGUCAGCUCCUGAGUCCACAGGACCUGGCAUACGACACUCCAAUAUUUGCAGAGUCAUGGGCCCUAGGACCACAAGGCACGCUGAUGCAGCACCUGAUUCAACAGCUCCACCUCCUAAAGGUUUCAAACCUUCAUGAGCAGCUCAAUGAUCUGGAGACCAAGUGUUCAGACAAGAGAGCCUGUGGGGGACAAUUCACAUUCAAGCCACAAUACCUUCCAGUCCCCGGGAUCAUCUCAGGACUCCAUGUAUUUGAUGCUGCAAAACUUUAGUCCCUGCUUCUGUCUUCAUGUGACUGUCAAGGACACCUGAAGGUCAUUGAAUUUGGAGUCAAUUACACACCAGAGUUACUAUGACUGGAAGACCGUAAGCUACAUGUGUGAAAACCCCCUUUUUUUUUAAAUAAAUAAACCUACAUUUGUGGUGAUGA